rnacentral:rRNA from 1 species
UACAGAGGUCUCAAGCGUUGUUCGGAUUCAUUGGGCGUAAAGGGUGCGUAGGUGGCGAGGUAAGUUGGAUGUGAAAUCCCGGGGCUCAACCCCGGAACUGCAUUCAAUACUGCCUUGCUAGAGUACUGGAGAGGAGAUUGGAAUUUACGGUGUAGCAGUGAAAUGCGUAGAUAUCGUUUGGAACGCCGAUGGUGAAAACAGGUCGCUGGGGACGUGCUGACGCUGAGACACGAAAGCCAGGGGAGCGAACGGG